GAUCAAACCUGUGUCUUCUGCAUCUCCUGCAUUGUCAGGCAGAUUCUUUACCACUGAGCCACCUGGGAAGCCCCAAGAAGCUGUUACUUCUUGUCUUGGCUGCUUUCUGUUCACUUGUGAAUAUAAGUCUCAAGGAAACCAUAAGCACUUAAUAAAAUACCUUAGGUAGGAAUAAAAGAGAAGCUGCCAAAGCUCUGCAUCAUCAUCAGGAAUUCUUGGAUUAAACAGAAUUUAAUCUAAGUGCUGGGUAAAUGAGCAGUAAUGCAUACAAAUCUUUUUGAACAGUGGCUGACUUGCCCACGUUGUCAAAAGACAUUGGAGUGAAAAAUCAGAUCCCAUCUCUGUUAUGUUGGCUUAAAAUCUGUUUUAUUGAGGGGGAUAGUGUGUGGUGGCCUGGCUGUAUUCCCUUGGGAGGUCUAAGUUACUAUUUGAAUUGCUUGGCUCCACUUCAUACCUGCAGCCCCCCAGUGCCUCUUUCUGACUCUGCCUGUGCUUGAUAUGGCCAGCGUCUUAGUUACUUCUAAAAAGGACAAAGUCUAUCCGGUUAACUAGGUCAUCAUUGCCCAAACCUGCGUGGCCUGAAAUAAGACAAUAAAGGACCAAAGGGGCCACACAGACACGUACGAGCUAUGUGAUGUGCCUGCCCUUGUUUCUUUUCUCAGCUGAGGCCCCUCCUGCCUUGCCUCUGUCCUCAUCCACCUGUCUUGGAUUUUGACUUGUGAGACAGGGCUGGGGCCUUUCAGGGAGGCUUUAACCCCGAGCAGCAUGGGCUCAGAGGACAUCACGUCAGGACACACGGACCUUUACGGGGAAGAUGUGUUCUCAUCCGGGCCAGGUGUUCAUGGCAGACUCGCACCCCAUCCUUAACUGUGUCAGCAGCCUGGUCUGGAAUCAGAUGCAAGGAAGGGAAAAUCCUUUUCAUGAAUUCACAGAAGGUUUCACCACGUGCUCUUGCCAUGAAGCCUUUUCACCAUGCACCGUUGUUACUAGCACACAGGGUGAUUAGCCAUCUAGGUUAUUACAGCCAUAGGACUUGGUGAUGAAUUGCACAUUCAACUGGCCAUGUGCUGUGAAUGCUAAGCCACUUCACUCAUGUCCAAUUCUUUGAGACUCUAUGGACUGUAGCCUGCCAGGCUUCUCUGUCCAUGGGAUUCUUCAGGCAAGAAUACUGGAGUGGGUUGCUGUGCCCACCUCAAGGGGAUCUUCCCAACCUAGGGAUCAAACCUGCAUCUCCUGCGACCCCUGCAAUGCAGGCAGAUUCUCAACUGCUGAACUACCCGGGAAGCCCAUUCCUUAACCAAUACUACAUAAUUUCAGUUAAAUUUCCCAGCUUAUUUGUACCAGGAGAUUGGCAAGCCCACAGUCUAGGGUCACACCUCUUCCGAAGCCCUCAACAUUUCUCCAGCAGUGUGGACGGCUGUGUGUGAGCACCGUCACAGUGAAAUCCACUAUGGUUUUCUUUCCUGCAGGAACCAGACAGAAAACAGGAGAAACGCAUGGGAAGGAGGCCUUCCUGCUGAGCGCCGGCUGGACGCUCUCAGGGGUUUCUCACUGUUCCCCUGCAUUCUUACCCUUGACCCUUUGGUGCAAUCCAGUCUCCCUGGGGCAGGGCCCUCUGAAAGUUGUGAUUUCCUCUCCUGACAGGCAGCAGGAAGGGGAGAAAGCUGCAAGCCAACCUUUGCUCCGGGAGCACUGGAAAGUGGUUAACAAAAGGGGGCACAGGACAGGGUGUGCUCAGGAAAUAUUGAUAAAAUGAGAGAGAGAAUGUGGAGAGAGAGAAAGACACCUCCCC
ensembl:lncRNA